rnacentral:rRNA from 1 species
UGAAUCGUUCGGGGGUAAACCUGAAGAAACCCAAAAGAUCGAAUGGGGAGAUUCAUCGUCAGCCGCUUUGGCUUCCGUGUGAACGCGAUGAUCGGAGCUUCGGCUCUGCGUCACGCGUUUACUGCGGCAUGUCUGAGGCGGCCGGCGUGCACUUCUCCCCUAGUAGGACGUCGCGAUUCGUUGGGUGUCGGUUUACGGACCGGUAGGUCGCCUGGCGUAUCUCGUUCACGC